GGUGGCUCAGUUGUAGAGUGCUUGCCUUGCAUGCAUGAGGCCCUGAGUUCAAUUCCCCAGCACCA
rnacentral:tRNA from 1 species